rnacentral:rRNA from 1 species
AGAACGAACGCUGGCGGCAUGCCUAACACAUGCAAGUCGAACGCUUUUGGGGCUUCGGUCCCAAAGGAGUGGCGCACGGGUGAGUAGCGCGUGGGAACCUGCCCUGUUGUGGGGGAUAACCGAGGGAAACUUCGGCUAAUACCGCAUACGCCCGGGGGAAACUCCGGGGAAAGAUUUAUCGCAGCAGGAGGGGCCCGCGUCGGAUUAGGUAGUUGGUGGGGUAACGGCUCACCAAGGCGAUGAUCCGUAGCUGGUCUGAGAGGAUGAUCAGCCACACUGGGACUGAGACACGGCCCAGACUCCUACGGGAGGCAGCAGUGGGGAAUAUUGGACAAUGGGGGCAACCCUGAUCCAGCAAUGCCGCGUGAGUGAUGAAGGCCUUAGGGUUGUAAAGCUCUUUCGCCCGCGACGAUGAUGACGGUAGCGGGAGAAGAAGCCCCGGCUAACUUCGCGCCAGCAGCCGC